GGGGGAAUAGCUCAGCUGGGAGAGCAGUAGACUGAAGUUUCCUUUCCAAAAGGGAAGUUGGGUUCUAAAGGUCCCCGGUUCGAUCCCGGGUUUCCCCA